rnacentral:rRNA from 1 species
UACAGAGGGGGCAAGCGUUGUUCGGAAUUACUGGGCGUAAAGGGCGCGUAGGCGGCCUUCUAAGCCGAACGUGAAAUCCCCGGGCUCAACCCGGGAACUGCGUCCGAUACUGGAAGGCUUGAAUCCGGGAGAGGGAUGCGGAAUUCCAGGUGUAGCGGUGAAAUGCGUAGAUAUCUGGAGGAACACCGGUGGCGAAGGCGGCAUCCUGGACCGGCAUUGACGCUGAGGCGCGAAAGCGUGGGGAGCAAACAGG